rnacentral:misc_RNA from 1 species
UCUCCGUAGGUGAACCUGCGGAGGGAUCAUUACUGAGUGAGGGCUCACGCCCGACCUCCAACCCUUUGUGAACACAUCUUGUUGCUUCGGGGGCGACCCUGCCGGCACUCGGUCGCCGGGCGCCCCCGAAGGUCUCCAAACACUGCAUCUUUGCGUCGGAGUUUAAAACAAAUUAAACAACACUUUCAGCAGAGGAUCUCUUGGUUCGGGCAUCGAUGAAGAACGCAGC